GUCCUAACUAAGCAUAUCAAAAUACCUUAUAAACACAAAAAGUGGAUCAGGAGGAAAGAGAGCGCGGAUCAGGAAAUAAAGGUGCUACCUCUUGUGUCUGACCUUGAGAUGACCUUGGAACCAGAUGGUUGUGGGCUCUAAUCCCAGUACUGAUUUCAGAGAGUGUGGACGUCUCCCCCACCGGCUGGCUUAUCUGCAGUCCGCCUGGGCGUGACUGGAGGGUAGGAUGAAGCCUUUUUUUUUCUCUGCUGCAUCUUUGCCAUGCUGCACAGGAAUACACUAAUGCUCACGGCUAAGACCUGCUGAGCAAAAUCUGGAUUAUUCAUGAAAAAAGAAAGCUCGUGGAUCAGAAACUGGCUGACAGUAAAACAGUGUCUGACAUCAGACAAAGCGUGCUUGCUGAAAACAAUAUUCACCACUGGACCAUAGAGACUCUCUGUCUAUAACAAGCACUGAGCGUGUCUGAGGGUCAAAUUCCUUGUUUGGACAUCAGACUGGAGCCCAGACUGUCAUAAAAUAGUUUGAAUUAUUUUCAUGGAUAUUGUGGGUGUGAUGUCAUUCCAGACAUUUUGUUUGUUCUUCGUGUGUCUAUGUACUUUUGUAUUGAAUAAGCAUGCGUGUGAGCAUGCAUGCACUGCACGUGUAGGCAUGUGCAGCCAUACCUGCGUUAUGUGCUGUGUUGGUAAAUGUGAUUGUUCUUAUGAACUUGUUUAUAGGUAUUCAUGUAACUUUUGGGUGCCUGCAUGCGCAUGAAUACAUGUGUAUGUGUACAUGUGUAGUAUAUAUGCAACUCUGGGUGUGUCUGAAGCCAAAUACUGAAACCACACAGAUAUUGAACCCUAAACACAUAAUGAUUCCAUCUGAACAUCAAGGCUUAUAUUCGUUAUAGUUUUUUAAAUUUAAUAUUAUUAUUUUUUUUAGAUAUGUGGACUACUGUCAUGAUUUAAAAUAGGCUAGGCUUAUUUGAACAAAUUUGAUUUCCAGUUCUCUCAUGCUUACUUGGGAGGUGAUCAAUGGAGCUUAGCCCAAGAGAGAGUCGAGGUGGUGGGGGAGAAAGAAAGAGUAGCCACGUGGGAAUGACCAAGAUGGGAUAGAUAGGGGACGGGGAAGAAGGUGCAGUCGAUCUCCUUCCUUCAGUGCCCCAUAUUGUGUGUAUAGUGUGAAAAUUAACUUCAAUAUAGGGGUGGCUGAUUGCACUGAAAAAAAAAACUGUCCUGGAAAUUUCUGUUUGGGGUGCGUGUUUCACAGUUCUGCGUGAAAACAACUGCUCAGAGUGUGCAGGUAAGCAGUGCCUAUUAGCCUCAACUAUUCGCUCAGGGUCCUUGUGUAUCUUUGUUGCAUAAUGAUGUAUUAUUACAUGUCACAUUUUGAUCACCGUAGCCUUGAGUUCAGGCACUGAAAGUACAUUCCUAAUUCUCUAUUUACCUCACAAAUAUUAUACUUGGUUGCUACAAACCUAAUAAUGCAAACAAUGCCCAUUU